AUGGACUCAUGGUUCUCCGUUCCUCCUUAUGCCCUGCGGGAGCUUGUCAUCGAGGGGAAAUCAGUCACAAGAGUUCCGACAUGGAUGGCCUCGCUUGUCAACCUCGAGAAACUGCACCUCCGCAUAUAUAAGAUGCCUGAGGAAGAGGUGAAGAUCCUGGGUGGCCUGCCAUCUCUGCGUCAUCUCUGUAUCGAGUGGGCUGAUUUUGAUUAUGACGACAUGUUUGACGACCCCCCCAUGGAGGUGGUUGAGGCUGCUGUACGGAAAGCCAUGGAAGACCAUCCCAACCGUCCUACCUUGGUCUGGACAACUGAGUGGGACCCAUUGCCUAGCUUCUUGCAGCUCCGAAGUUAA
rnacentral:rRNA from 1 species